GACAGAGGGUGCAAACGUUGUUCGGAAUUACUGGGCGUAAAGCGCGUGUAGGCGGCCAUGCAAGUCGGAUGUGAAAGCCCUCGGCUCAACCGGGGAAGUGCACCCGAAACUGCAAGGCUAGAGUCUCGGAGAGGAUCGUGGAAUUCUCGGUGUAGAGGUGAAAUUCGUAGAUAUCGAGAGGAACACCGGUGGCGAAGGCGGCGAUCUGGGCCAAUACUGACGCUGAGGUGCGAAAGCGUGGGGAGCAAACAGG
rnacentral:rRNA from 1 species